rnacentral:rRNA from 1 species
AACGAACGCUGGCGGCAUGCCUAACACAUGCAAGUCGAACGAAGGCUUCGGCCUUAGUGGCGCACGGGUGCGUAACGCGUGGGAAUCUGCCCUUAGGUACGGAAUAACUCAGGGAAACUUGAGCCAAUACCGUAUAAUGACUCCGGUCCAAAGAUUUAUCGCCUAAGGAUGAGCCCGCGUAGGAUUAGCUAGUUGGUGAGGUAAAGGCUCACCAAGGCGACGAUCCUUAGCUGGUCUGAGAGAAUGAUCAGCCACACUGGGACUGAGACACGGCCCAGACUCCUACGGGAGGCAGCAGUGGGGAAUAUUGGACAAUGGGCGAAAGCCUGAUCCAGCAAUGCCGCGUGAGUGAUGAAGGCCUUAGGGUUGUAAAGCUCUUUUACCCGGGAUGAUAAUGACAGUACCGGGAGAAUAAGCCCCGGCUAACUCCGUGCCAGCCGCCGCCGUAA